CCUACGGGUGGCAGCAGUGAGGAAUAUUGGUCAAUGGCCGUAAGGCUGAACCAGCCAAGUCGCGUGAAGGAAGAAGGAUCUAUGGUUUGUAAACUUCUUUUAUAGGGGAAUAAAGGUAUCCACGUGUGGAUAUUUUCAUGUACCCUAUGAAUAAGCAUCGGCUAACUCCGUGCCAGCAGCCGCGGUAAUACGGAGGAUGCGGGCGUUAUCCGGCUUUAUUGGGUUUAAAGGGUGCGUAGGUUGGUUGUUAAGUCAGCGGUGAAAGUUUGUGGCUCAACCAUAGAAUUGCCGUUGAAACUGGCAGAAUGGAGGGGGUGUGAGGUAGGCGGAAUUCGGGGUGGAGCGGGGAAAUGCAUAGAUAUCACGGAGAA
rnacentral:rRNA from 1 species